AAAUUGAAGAGUUUGAUCAUGGCUCAGAUUGAACGCUGGCGGCAGGCCUAACACAUGCAAGUCGAACGGUAGCACAGAGAGCUUGCUCUCGGGUGACGAGUGGCGGACGGGUGAGUAAUGUCUGGGAAACUGCCUGAUGGAGGGGGAUAACUACUGGAAACGGUGGCUAAUACCGCAUAACGUCGCAAGACCAAAGAGGGGGACCUUCGGGCCUCUUGCCAUCAGAUGUGCCCAGAUGGGAUUAGCUUGUUGGUGAGGUAACGGCUCACCAAGGCGACGAUCCCUAGCUGGUCUGAGAGGAUGACCAGCCACACUGGAACUGAGACACGGUCCAGACUCCUACGGGAGGCAGCAGUGGGGAAUAUUGCACAAUGGGCGCAAGCCUGAUGCAGCCAUGCCGCGUGUAUGAAGAAGGCCUUCGGGUUGUAAAGUACUUUCAGCGGGGAGGAAGGUGUUGUGGUUAAUAA
rnacentral:rRNA from 2 species